rnacentral:rRNA from 1 species
AUGUCUUCACCGACGAGGCUUUCCUGGGUCGUGCUGAGGAAGCACGUCCCGGUCUUCGACGCCGAGGAGAAGGAGCAGGAAGACAAGAUCAUGGCCGAGGCGAGCAACGAUUGGGGGAACAUCGAGGAUGGGUCCUGGAUACUGGACCAGUUCUCGCUCGACGCGCACCUCGUGGAGCCGCCGGAGCUCUCCACCUUGUCCGUGCGCGCCAAGAUCGAGACGCAGGAGCGCGGCAUCGGGUGCGUCCUCGACUCCGUCGUGGAGAACUACCUCGUCAUGACUCUGGUGUUCUGCGACAGGUGGUACGGGCUCGUCUACGACGCAGCCAAGAACUCGCUUUCACUGCUCCCCGCCACCAUGGAUUCCUUCGCGGGCUACGACUUCGCGUCGAGAGUUGAUUCUGUGCCCUUCUUCUUCCUGAGGCAACAUGCCGUCCUGCCACGCGACGACGGCUCCUACGAUCUGCUCAAUCUGGGGUUCCGGUCCGAGAGACGCGACAGAGUGUUGCAGGGGUCGGGCAUCAUCUUCCGGUGGUCGAGCCAUGCCGCUGGCAAGAAGUGGACGAAGCAGGAGGCGCGCUUCAGCCCGCAUACCCAGGUGCCGCGCCAGCCGGCGUACAAAGUAGACGCGGCCUUCACUUUCAAAGGGAAGGUUUUCUGGGCCGAUCUCAUGCUUGGCGACAUUGUUUGUGACAUGCCAUCCACCCGUACCACUACCAGCGAAGACGUCGAUCACGUGGAGCUGGACUUCAUCCAUCUUCCCCAGGAGUGCCAAGGCCGUGACUUCUCCCGCAGUUACCCCAAGGAUCGUCGGACCAUGGGCCCUGUCGGGGACUCCAUAAAGCUCAUCUCCAUCGUCACCAUCAGUGGCGACAACCCCCGUGACAACACGCCCCCUGCCGACGUCGUGCUGCGGAGCUGGACCCUGUUGCCAGACCUCCGCUCAUGGACGAGAGACCAAGACAUGGAGCUGCCCUUGCCCCUGCUCUGGCAGUCGGAGGUCUACAAGCGCGAGAGGCUGCCGCAGGCCAUGCCGCAGUGCCCAGUCCUCAAGGCCGACGAGGAUGGCAUCCUCUACCUCUUGCUGGGAGAUUACUACCUGGAUUGGGAGAGAAGGGCACGGCUAUGCAGGGAGAUUGAGUGUGUGAUCAGCAUCGACAUGCGCACAAAGUCUCUCCUGUCCUGCAGCCAUCGUCCUAUCAAAGAUGGCUUGCCAGCGCCAGCGCCGUGGGAAGAAGUCAGGCCUUCCAAAGAUUUCGAUCCUGACAUACCUACCCUGCUUGCUGCCAAGUUCUGCGCGAACCACACUGGAUGGUCUGAUGGUCCUCUGCACAAGGAAAAGAAGAAUCGUCUGAUAUACUGUAGAUGGGAAAGAAGGAAGAGCAGCUCAAGUCGCCGUGCUUUCAUCAGUGUGGCUCUUGCUUCGAUUGUUGUGAUUAUUUACCUUCAGCUCCGGGGAUCUUUAUCGAUCUUGACUUAA